UACUGUACAAAUUCAAAGGAUUAUUACAACUUGUGAACAUGUUAGCAGGUAUAAAAAUGAAGAGUCUGCUAUAGAAAUGUGGUUAAUCAUUGAAUAGUUAGAAUAUGACCCAUUAUUUAUGCUUCAGAAAAGAAAAAUGGCUUUAAAAUUUGUCCAGUGAAAAUAAAUAUAAGUAUUCUUAUAUAAAUCUAUAUCAUUGAUUUUAAUGUUAGUUUGCACUGUUGUUUAACAACUCUAUAAUGUCCCUUUUUUCAAAUAGAUUUGAUUUCAUUAAAAUUAUGUGUUGUCAGCUGUCUGUGGUGGUGCACACCUAUAAUCCAAGCUACCUAGGAGGCUGAGGCAAGUAGAUCACAAGUUUGAGGCUAGCCUGGGCAACAGUGAUUUAAAUUAAAAUAAUUUUUUUAAAAGGGUGGGGAAUAUAGGUUGACUUGCCCUGCCUAGCAUGUGUGAGGCGCUGGGUUCAGUCCUUAGUAUUGUGGAGCAAAUAUGUUGUCCUUUUUUAUUACUGUACUUGAAUUAUAUCAGCCUAGAAAAUUACAUUUGUCAUUCUGAUGUCUUAAAGAAGCAGAUAUACCUUGGAAUUUUAUUAUUUUCAAGUGAUAUAAAAUUAGGCUUAUUAUGAACUCAAAUAUACCAAAAUUUACAUAAAGAAAAUAUUGUAGGAUCUGGAUAACAUCAGACAACUUGCCAGUGACUUUGUGGAUUUAAUGGUAUUAUUAUAAGAGUUUACAAUUUGAAAUGCACAUGGCUUUCAGUUCUGCACAGUAAUAGUCAAAAUUUUGAUACUCAUACUUUUCCACUGUACAACUAUGAGAAAUUUCUUAAAAAUCUUUUUAUUUUAAUGCUGACCUUACGUUUCACUUGC
rnacentral:lncRNA from 1 species